UUCUGAGGAGAAGUGCGUGGUAGGAUCUCGAGUGUACAUACCAACAUGACUGCCUGUGGCACAUGAAGAUGAUGAAGGCUCAUUGCUGAUUUACUUUCCGCUGUGUUUAUUCUGAGCUAGUCCAUGUGACUAUGCAAUUUGUAAGGUUUUAUCGUACCCUCUGGAUCAACGAUGUAGUAAUUUGAUACUAUUGCAAUGAUUACUAUAUUUUGUAAUGUGUGUGCUAUCAGUGAUCCCGGGAAUAGCACUAUACACAGGUAUCUUACCUUUAUUAAAAGGUAGGGUGUUACACCUCCUCCACAUACAAACUCCCGCAGCGCAUAGGCGAAGCCCUGCCGGAGUUCUCCACCACCACCGCCACCACGCCGUUGUGCUGCCUGGAUUCCGAGGAGGAUCUACUACUUCCGCUGCCCGCUGGAACGGGGAGAAGGACGUCGUCAUCAACAUCGAACGUGUGACCGAGUACGCAGGUGCUGCCCGAUUGUGGCACCGUCAAGAUCUUCUACGCGCUUUUGAAAGCGGCAAGUGAUCGUCUACCGCAGCAACGAGAGCCUCCUCUUGUAGGCUUUGGAAAUCUUCAAGGACGCUAGUACCAGAGACUAUCAAGAGGAAGAGGUCUUCUACCAAGAGGAAGAGCAAGAGAACUUUGAUCACAUCACCAACCAAGGCAAGCUAUUACCAAUGCAAGCUAGACUAAUGCAAACUAUUUUGGUUGCAAGUUUAUAUUCUUUCCAAGUGCAAAGCUCUACAAGAGCAAGGCACCAUUAC